rnacentral:rRNA from 1 species
UACAGAGGUGGCAAGCGUUGUUCGGAAUUACUGGGCGUAAAGGGCGCGUAGGCGGCCUUCUAAGUCGGACGUGAAAGCCCCAGGCUUAACCUGGGAACUGCGUCCGAUACUGGGAGGCUUGGAUUCGGGAGAGGGAUGUGGAAUUCCAGGUGUAGCGGUGAAAUGCGUAGAUAUCGGGAGGAAUACCUAUGGCGAAAGCAGGCUACUGGACCGUCACUGACUCUGAUCUGCGAAAGCUAGGGGAGCAAACAGG